rnacentral:rRNA from 1 species
UACAGGAGGUCUCAAGCGUUGUUCGGAUUCAUUGGGCGUAAAGGGUGCGUAGGCGGCGCGGUAAGUCGGGUGUGAAAUCUCGGAGCUUAACUCCGAAACUGCAUUCGAUACUGCCGUGCUUGAGGACUGGAGAGGAGACUGGAAUUUACGGUGUAGCGGUGAAAUGCGUAGAUAUCGUGAAGGAAGACCAGUGGCGAAGGCGGGUCUCUGGACAGUUCCAUGACGCUGGAGGCACGGAAGGCCAGGGGAGCAAACGGG